CGGAAACGGAGGUAGCUUGCUACCAGACGUCGAGCGGCGGACGGGUGAGUAAUGCAUGGGAAUCUGCCCGAUAGAGGGGGAUAGCCCGGGGAAACUCGGAUUAAUACCGCAUACGCCCUACGGGGGAAAGCAGGGGAUCUUCGGACCUUGCGCUAUCGGAUGAGCCCAUGUCCGAUUAGCUAGUUGGUAGGGUAAAGGCCUACCAAGGCGACGAUCCGUAGCUGGUCUGAGAGGAUGAUCAGCCACACUGGGACUGAGACACGGCCCAGACUCC
rnacentral:rRNA from 1 species